GACGAACGCUGGCGGCGUGCUUAACACAUGCAAGUCGAACGGAAAGGCCCCCUUGUGGGGUACUCGAGUGGCGAACGGGUGAGUAACACGUGAGUAACCUACCCUUGACUUUGGGAUAACUUCAGGAAACUGGGGCUAAUACCGGAUAGGAGCUCCUGCUGCAUGGUGGGGGUUGGAAAGUUUCGGCGGUUGGGGAUGGACUCGCGGCUUAUUAGCUUGUUGGUGGGGUAGUGGGUCACCAAGGCGUUGACGGGUAGCCGGCCGGAGAGGGUGACCGGCCACAUUGGGACUGAGAUACGGCCCAGACUCCUACGGGAGGCAGCAGUGGGGAAUAUUGCACAAUGGGCGGAAGCCUGAUGCAGCAACGCCGCGUGCGGGAUGACGGCCUUCGGGUUGUAAACCGCUUUCGCCUGUGACGAAGCGUGAGUGACGGUAAUGGGUAAAGAAGCACCGGCUAACUACGUG
rnacentral:rRNA from 1 species